rnacentral:rRNA from 1 species
UACGAAGGGGGCUAGCGUUGCUCGGAAUCACUGGGCGUAAAGGGUGCGUAGGCGGGUCUUUUAAGUCAGGGGUGAAAUCCUGGAGCUCAACUCCAGAACUGCCUUUGAUACUGAAGAUCUUGAGUUCGGGAGAGGUGAGUGGAACUGCGAGUGUAGAGGUGAAAUUCGUAGAUAUUCGCAAGAACACCAGUGGCGAAGGCGGCUCACUGGCCCGAUACUGACCGCUGAGCACGAAAGCGUGGGGAGCAAACAGG